AAUGGGCGAAAGCCUGAUCCAGCGAUGCCGCGUGAGUGAAGAAGGCCCUAGGGUUGUAAAGCUCUUUCGGUGGGGAAGAUAAUGACGGUACCCACAAAAGAAGCCCCGGCUAACUCCGUGCCAGCAGCCGCGGUAAUACGGAGGGGGCUAGCGUUACUCGGAAUUACUGGGCGUAAAGCGAGCGUAGGCGGUUAACUAAGUUGGGGGUGAAAGCCCGGGGCUCAACCCCGGAAAUGCCCUCAAAACUAGUUAGCUAGAGGACGGGAGAGGGGAGUGGAACUCCCAGUGUAGAGGUGAAAUUCGUAGAUAUUGGGAAGAACACCAGUGGCGAAGGCGACUCUCUGGACCGUUUCUGACGCUAAGGCUCGAAAGCGUGGGUAGCAAACAGGAUU
rnacentral:rRNA from 1 species